rnacentral:misc_RNA from 1 species
GUUUGAAUGUCUUUAGGUAGCGGAUUCGGCACUGGAAUGAUUUCAGGGUUUUCUAUUUCGGAGAGGAGGAUGUCGGCUUCAGAACUGGGUAUCGUCUGGCGGAGGACGUCGGAGGGGAUGUCGAGGUAGCAGCCGCCGGGGCGGCCAGCGGCGGCGCGGACGAGGACGUCGGCAACGAGGCGGGGGAUUUGGCUGAUGUGGGUGGCUUUGACGGCGAGCUUGACGAAGGGGGCGACAGCGGCGAGCUGGUCGAGCUCCUGGAAGUCGCCCUUGCCGGCGUCGGCCUGGUCGCAGGAGCCGGAGAUCAUGACGGCGGG